rnacentral:tRNA from 1 species
GGUCCCAUAGCUCAGUUGGUUAGUAGCACCUGACUCAUAAUCAGGGGGUCCUUGGUUCAAGCCCAAGUGGGACCACAA